GGAAAGCCAAGAGGCUGUAAGGACAUGCAGACAAUGGCUCAAGAGGGCAGCACAUCACUGGCCACAGGCACCACGGCCUCGUGGUGCUGGUGACACAACUGAGCAGUCCCUGGAAUGGAGGAAUUGUGGUCAGGUGGAUGAGGUGAGUUUUAUUUCACCUCAUUUUGCAUUUGGAGCACAGAGGAAGAACCCAGCUGCUUUAAAGUCACCAACAAACUCCAGGCCACAUGUGGGAGUCCACCUCAGAGCUCCUGCAGCCCAGUUCAAUGUCCCAAACCACCCUUCCCACCAGGUUCACACAGACAUUUGCUCUCCUGCAUCACAGAACAGGAAAGAUGCUCCACUCUGUGUUUAACCAGCCACAAGGGGUGACUCAGCUGAGCACCAUUAAAAAUGCAUCAUGCUAAAUUCCAGGCAGAAAAGAUUAGAAAGUGGAAUUUCAGCAAGCAACCCUCGUGACUGGCCCCCAUUUCAGAGGUCUUCAGCUCCUUCUGGUGGGACAAACCUCACCACACCCACAGGUCCUGUAACCAAACCUUGCCAAAAGGAGCGUGGUCUCCACCACGGGGGCUCUGCCUGGCUUGGCUGUUGAUGAAGAUGAGGGGUCUUUAAUGGGUUUAGUGCUGGGCUGACAGUGGUCAGGUCACAAUCCUGCUCCCUGGCCUUGAGCCCUGCUUGUGCAGAGCUGGUUUCUGCACGGGACUGAUUAGCUGGGAGGAGAAAAAUGGCCUUGAAAAGGUCUCUGCAGGCACACAGAGCCUGGCCUGUCUGUGAGGAGGGACAAGGACCCUUUUGUGCCCUGGGCUCUGCUGACACACGAUCUCCGAGCGAGCCCAUGGGUCAGGAAUCAAAUUAAAAUGCAUUUCCUCCCUUCCCGUAAGAGAAGCCGGAUUGAUGUCCCUGCUGUUCCCUGCCUUACGGGAAGCCUGUGGAAAUGGGGGGUUGCAAGGAGACAAAUCCAGCCCAGGAGCUCAGGGACCAGCAGCUCCUGCAGGUGAAAAGCUGUGAGGAAAGGUGCCCUUGGAAUGAGUGAGUGGGAUGUACCCUGACCCAAACCUCACCGGGAUUUUAGGGGGAAAAAAGCAAUCCCAGCCUUUUCAGGUGAAGGGCUCAGCUCUAACCUGGUGCCACCAUGCUGAGGGACAGCAUGGCCAUGCCCUUUCUUGCAAAAUAAACAACAGAUCCAGAGCUAUCCUGCCCCUACCUCCAACCCAGAUCCUGUAGGGAAGGAGGAAAAGACAAUCUCCUUGAAGCUGCCAGCCUGGGUGAUGUCUCACCAAAAUAAAGCACUUUGGUACUGAAAAGCACCUUGACAACUGUUUGCUGAGGGACAAGGGAUGAAAUGAUGCUUCCAGCCCAUCACAAGGGGAUAACUCCAGUCCUUGCUCCGGGGACUGGAUCAAACAACCUGUCCAGAAGUGCACUGACAGCAUCCCUGACGAUGUUUCCCCCAUCCUGCUGCUUUCCCCUUGGAGCAGAGCAGGAACAGGGCUGGCUGAGGCUCACACUUCCCAAGGACAGGGGUGGAAACCACACACACACACCAGAUAAUCUGCAAUAUCUGCAAAAACCCCACUACAACUUUGGCAACCACUCUGUGAUGAAAAUCAGGAGCCAGCAGUGUCCUGGCCUUGGGGUUUUGCUUUUCCUGCGCUCAGCUCAGCUUUGCUCCCAUCCUGCUUCCCCCGAGUCCUCAGCAGUGUGGCUGUGGGUGGAGAGGGUUAACAGAGCUCUGGCAGAUGGGAAAACAUUUUCCAGCUGCUGUUCUCCGCAGUUUCUUCCUUCCCUCUGAGCUUUGCAGCUCUGUGGCCAGGCAGAGAGAGGUUGCCCGCAGAGCUGGCAGCUGAUGAAACGGGUUGGACAGGCCACCGUGGCCGAGGGAAGCCACACAAGAUGCCCUAAAAGGCUCAGGGAAAGGUUACAGACUUCCAGAGGCUUCAGCCUGGCAUGGGAUUUCUCCAUCUGCUUUCCCUCUCUCGCCUGCACAUAACUCAGCACUGAUGGGGGGAGAUCACCCUGAAUUCCAGCUCAUCUUCCCUGAGGAAGGCUCCUGGGACCCCAGUGAGAAAACCCAGCCAUCUGUAAGCCAAGGUGGGGAAUCUCCUCUGGCUGCCCAGGGAUGUGCCAAGCCCCUCAUCUCCACCUCCAGGACAAGGAGCACGCAGUGUUUGCUGGUUGGUUUGAAUGGAGCCUUGUCCUUGCUGUCGUGCUCUCCCUCCUUUUCCUUCUGGGAAUGCAAAAGCCUUUAUUUUUCCUCUUUUUUUCACCCUAGUUUUGCCCAGAAUCCCUGGGACAAAACCUGCUGUGUGUGCCGGGCCCGUGGCUGCAGUCCACCCCGUAGCUGCAUCCGCAGGGAGCGAGCUGGAGAGGCCAGGGCCAGCCAAGGCAUCGAAGGCACAAGGGCUGGCAGCUGGCACUGCCCUUCGCUGUGCCCACGGGUGGCACCAAUGCCAGCUGUGACACCCCGAGCCUCCGGCAGGGACGAGGGGAGGGCCAAGGCAGCCACAAUCCCCGAGGAUGCCAAGCAGGAUAAACACUUCUGUGAUCCCCAAAAGCAAAGAAAGUGCAAAAGCAAAAAAUGCUUUGGUGAGAAUCACCUGCAUCUGCCUUGUCACUUCAUCUCCCGGCCCUUUCCGAGGUCACAGUGGGAGGUUUUUUCUCUGGCAUUGGAUGCAGGUGACCAGGCACAGCUUUUUGGGUGCCCUCCAGCCACCCACUCAGAGUUUCCUCCAUGCUGAACCACAGGUUGCAGUGGCUGGACCAUCCCUGUCUCUGCAGUGUGGCCUUGGACCUGUUUAUCCCAUGAGCUUUUUCCCACAAAACCUCAGUGCCAGAGGAUGAAGGCAGCACAGGAGGGGAGCCUGGUGAUGAGAAGACCCUGGGCAGAUCACUGCCCUCAAAUUAAGCACCCACAGGCAUGUGCACGUGAAGUCAGCAUCCCAAAAUGCUCCUGUAACUGUAUCUGCCAGGGAUAUUUAGACCAGCCAGCAUGGGAAAGGAGGGGGCUGUCAUGGGAGAAGGUCACGGGCAGCUCAGGCAUGGGCAGCACUCCACAGGGAGACCACGGGACGGGCACUGCAUUUCCAAGUAAAGGCCUUCACUCCUGAUUUCUGCCCCAUUUUCCAGCAUUCCCAGUGCCGCCCCAGCCGUGUUUCAUGCUGGAAUUUGCCAGGCAGCAGCGAAGUCACUGAAGACAGCAAAGCACAACCAAAUCACGGCUGCGAUUAAUACGUUUUCACAGGGGGCUGAUGAGGUUUAAUUGGCCUUCCCAAAUAAUUAAUGUGGAUUAAUUUCCCAGCAGGACCUCACAGAGGCAGCCCUUGGCUGUGCCACGGCUCCCAUUGUUUUAUGCUGGAGGCUGAAACCACGAUCCCUUCACGGCAUCUUCUCCCUGACUCCCUUCCAAAGGACACACGGAGGACGUGGGUGUUUCCCCUGCCCUGGUUCUGAGGCAUUUAGUAGGCUCAUCAAAAUCCUCGCUCAGGACCAGGAACCACUCGAGACUCUGGGAAGCAAACGACCUGGAAUCGUUUUUCACUGCUCUGGGGUUGUGGUUCCAGCCCUUUGUGACCAAAAGCAAACAGGCAAGGCGUUCGGGAGCUCCCGAGCCUGCUCGGAGCCGCGAGACAGGAUCCGGCCGGAAUCUGAGCCUGCCAAACUGCCUGCUGUCCAUCUGCCCUUUCCCUUUGGAUCCUUCCUGCCACGGUCACCUUCAGAGCCUUUCUCCUCCGGGCUGGCCCCGGCCACCAGUGUGGGCUGAGGACCUUCCCAGCUGUCCCAGCUCCACCAUCCCCAGCGUUUCUCUCCGACAAUCCCAAGGCAAAAACUCCAAAAUUCUUUUCCAGGACAGGCAAGCAGCUUUAAGGAGCUUUAUCCAUCUCCCUGCCAGACAACAUCCCUCCUUUAUCCCUGCUGGGUGUGAUCUACCCCUUCCUCCAUCCCCAACACAGCCGGAACACCUCAAUUAAACCAAAACCUUGCAAAGAAUCUGUAUUUCUGUUCCUACCAAAAAGCACCUUUGGAGGGCAGCUCCACUCCAGAAAUGCUGCCUCAGUUUCCCCUCCUGUCAGCAGGCUGAGAAACAGCAGAGUUGAAUUUGUUUUCUCCGUGAAAAAUAUUUUUCUGGGGGUGUUUUGGUUUCCUAGACGGUUUUUCAGUAACUUGAUCCAAGCUAAAAAGGGGAGAGAAAGCCUGGAGAAAUGACAUAACAAGUUUAAAAGAACUUUGGAACUUUGUUUGGAGGUCAAAUAAAAGGUUUUGCUUUGAGAGAAAUCGCGUCUUCUGGGAAUUUCUGUUUUCCCCCAAGAAACUCCCUGAAUCAAUCUUCCUUCCAGCUUUUGCUUCUCUGGGGGUACCAAAACCUCCUGCCUUGCUCCACACCAUGGGAAAUCAGUCGGGAUUAACCAAACGUGUGGCUUUAAAGUGAAUUAAGAAAGAAUUAAAACCAUCAGUGACAACGGUAAUCAAGGCCACCUUCAUUCAGUUGAACCUGACUCAAUUCCCAGCACGGCAGGGCUCUGGGGAUGGAUCCUUCUGGAAGCAAACAUCAACCCUGGCCAAUAUUUAAUCCCUCCAUCAACACUUCCCUUCCUGCUUCAGCAAAGUUGAUGCUCCCUGCCUGUUUUUCCCUGCUGUGGGAUAGGGGCAGAUCCUAUUUGAGCCCUCAGACUUCCAGUUUUAAUUAUUCCAUGGGGGAAACCGAGCACUUGGAUCCUUUAGGCUUCCUGGAGGUACAAGGAGGCAUUUCUGUCCGGAGUUUGACUUUGCUUUUGCCCUCCAUGACCUUUUGAUGCCCACUGGAGGCAGGAACAGUCAGAGAGAAGAGUGUGGGACCAGUUUCUGGCCCAUUUGGUAACCCUACAAGCUCCGUAUGUGGGAGAAAGGACAUUUCCAUGGAGACCUCCCAGCCUCCUGCCCACACCAAGGGAGUCACAACCACCCUGGAAAAACCAAAGGCAGUCAGGGGGACAACCAGGAUAACACAAUUACCGGGCUCCACCGCCAGAAAACCCCACAGGGGGAGGACUUUGGGGGAUAAAUUUUUUUGCUCCACAGGCAGCAUCCCGUGGAGGCAACAGGGGCUUUGCUCCAUGGGUGGUUCCCAGUCAGGUUUUUAGUGGGGGCUGCUCAGCACUGGGGAGGGAGCCCGGCAGCACGCUCGGCUGCCAGAGAACUAUUCGUGGCUUUGGCUUCGUGUCAACAACCCGAGAUAAAAAUCGCACUGGGCAGAGACAGGAUAAAGUCACUCAGUGCCACGACCGUCAGAAAUCCUUCUGGAGCUUUUAUAACCCACUAAGCCCGGGGAUGUGGCUGUGCUUCGGGGCUCAGAGCAUUUUGGGGUCUCUCCCUUUGCACUGGAGCCCCUUAACCUAUCAGCCACCCGUUGCUUGAGGGAAAACAAGAGGAAUUUGGUGGUCAUGAAACAGCCAAUUUUGGCAGCAGUGAUCACAAGCUAGGGCCACCAUCCCCCAGUGCUGGUGGCCCCCCAGAGCUGGGUUUGCUGCUCCUCACCUCGUGUACAGGAAGGCAGUGGGUUGCCAAAUGGCUUUUGCAAUAAACUGAUAAGAAAAACUGGAACAGAAGGAGAAAUGAGAUGUUUUGCCCCUAAAGUUGUUCCUGCAGUGAUGUCAGCCAGUGCCCAGCCCAGGGAAGAAGAGUGCUUUGGGUGUUAGGAGGUGCUAGAAGGAGUCAAAAAGUUUGAAAUGAGAGUAUCGCCAUUGCAGUGUAAAUUAAAACACUCCCAAAGAAAUUACACAGGGAGCCCAACAUGCAAAGAGGUGGAAAAACACGCGCAGCAGAGCAGGGAGUCAGCUCCAUGGUUUAACCUGAGCUGCGUGCAGGAAAUCACAGACCAACAGCGAGGGAACUCCCCAGGGAAGGGAGAAACCGAGCAGCAAAGACAUUAUUGUGAAUUAAGGCAUUAAAUACCCAACAAUUCAGGCGAAGAGGAGCAAAAGGAGCAGGAGGCUUCCCUGCCUGCCCAGCCUGAACCAUUUGUGCCAGCACCCUCCCAUGCCAGCGACUCCCGGCCGGCUGCGGGUGCCACUGCCCCGUCUUGGGGCACUUCGGGGCUUUUUAGCGGCAGCAUGCGGCAGAGAGGGGGACAGCAGGAGCGUCGGGCUUCGGCUCUGUCCGCGCAGUGCCCCACUCCCUGCUCUGGGUGCGCGGGGACGCUGUGUCACCCGUGUCACCCAGACAGCAACAAGUGCCACCACCAGCUCCGCGAGGCUGCUGGGACCAAGACUGAUGGCAGAACUGGGAUGUUGGGACUUUUCAUCAUUGGUGGAUCCAGGAGGACACAGCUGAAGGUUUGCUGGAGGUGGCUGCUGCCCUGGGGAAGCAGCGGCCAGGUCCAGCCCAACCUUCCUCCUUCACCUGGGUGAGAAACCUUGGGAUUUGUGGGGCUGGAGGAACAGGCACAGCCCCACGGGACCACGUGCAGGUGGCCCAGUUGUUUUCCACCGCCGCGAGCCCCGGUGUUCCCCCGAGUAUUCCCCAUCUGUGUCCCUGGGUGACAGCCAGAUCCUCCUUCCCCAGCUGGAGCUGAUUUCAUCUGGGGGUCCCUGGGCCUCCUGGCUGUGGCUGGGGGGCCAUGAAGCCCCUGAUGGAGGAGGGGAAGGACACCAAUGGCAUCUAUUAUUCAACAGCAGAAAGUGGCAGCUGGCUAAGGAGGCAUUUAGAGGAUAUGAACUCCUGGCAUGGACACAGUGCUGCAGAGAUUUUGCUCACGGACCUCCAUGCCAGAAAAGAGCAAAAAAAUAUA